rnacentral:rRNA from 1 species
GACGAACGCUGGCGGCGUGCUUAACACAUGCAAGUCGAACGGAAAGGCCCUGCUUUUGUGGGGUGCUCGAGUGGCGAACGGGUGAGUAACACGUGAGUAACCUGCCCUUGACUUUGGGAUAACUUCAGGAAACUGGGGCUAAUACCGGAUAGGAGCUCCUGCUGCAUGGUGGGGGUUGGAAAGUUUCGGCGGUUGGGGAUGGACUCGCGGCUUAUCAGCUUGUUGGUGGGGUAGUGGCUUACCAAGGCUUUGACGGGUAGCCGGCCUGGGAGGGUGACCGGCCACAUUGGGACUGAGAUACGGCCCAGACUCCUACGGGAGGCAGCAGUGGGGAAUAUUGCACAAUGGGCGGAGGCCUGAUGCAGCAACGCCGCGUGCGGGAUGACGGCCUUCGGGUUGUAAACCGCUUUCGCCUGUGACGAAGCGUGAGUGACGGUAAUGGGUAAAGAAGCACCGGCUAACUACGUG